rnacentral:rRNA from 1 species
CCUACGGGAGGCUGCAGUGGGGAAUAUUGGACAAUGGGGGCAACCCUGAUCCAGCCAUGCCGCGUGUGUGAAGAAGGCCCUCGGGUUGUAAAGCACUUUCAGUGAGGAAGAACGCCUGGUGGUUAAUACCCAUCAGGAAAGACAUCACUCACAGAAGAAGCACCGGCUAACUCCGUGCCAGCAGCCGCGGUAAUACGGAGGGUGCGAGCGUUAAUCGGAAUUACUGGGCGUAAAGCGCGCGUAGGUGGCUUGAUAAGCCGGUUGUGAAAGCCCCGGGCUCAACCUGGGAACGGCAUCCGGAACUGUCAAGCUAGAGUGCAGGAGAGGAAGGUAGAAUUCCCGGUGUAGCGGUGCAAUGCGUAGAGAUCGGGAGGAAUACCAGUGGCGAAGGCGGCCUUCUGGACUGACACUGACACUGAGGUGCGAAAGCGUGGGUAGCAAACAGGAUUAGAUACCCUAGUAGUC